AUGAACGCUGGCGGCGUGCCUAAUACAUGCAAGUCGAGCGAACAGAUGAGGAGCUUGCUCCUCUGACGUUAGCGGCGGACGGGUGAGUAACACGUGGAUAACCUACCUAUAAAACUGGGAUAACUUCGGGAAACCGGAGCUAAUACCGGAUAAUAUAUUGAACCGCAUGGUUCAAUAGUGAAAGACGGUUUUGCUGUCACUUAUAGAUGGAUCCGCGCCGCAUUAGCUAGUUGGUAAGGUAACGGCUUACCAAGGCAACGAUGCGUAGCCGACCUGAGAGGGUGAUCGGCCACACUGGAACUGAGACACGGUCCAGACUCCUACGGGAGGCAGCAGUAGGGAAUCUUCCGCAAUGGGCGAAAGCCUGACGGAGCAACGCCGCGUGAGUGAUGAAGGUCUUCGGAUCGUAAAACUCUGUUAUUAGGGAAGAACAAAUGUGUAAGUAACUAUGCACGUCUUGACGGUACCUAAUCAGAAAGCCACGGCUAACUACGUG
rnacentral:rRNA from 1 species